rnacentral:tRNA from 1 species
UAGGGCUAUACGGACUCGAACCGUAGACCUUCUCGGUAAAACAGAUCAAACUGAUUAUUCUCAAAAUGAUUCGAACUGUUUCAAAGACCCAACAUGCAUUUUUUUGCAUUGGGCUCUUCCAUUAACUGAUAUAAAUAAUCAGUUAGUCUACCAUAAUUCUCUUGACAAGAAGAUAAGAAGAUGGCUCCAUGUGCUCUGAUUUCUUAUUUGGAUUCCGAUCUGAGAGCACUACCGAAGUGUUUCAAAGAAGGUUAUCCUGACGUAGGUUUGCUUUUGGCUUAGAUCAACCUAAGUUAAAUGAAGUCUCCAUCGCCCCCUUCUUACUUAAAUAAUCCAAUAUGAAACUUCAUACACCUUAAAGUUCAUAAGAUAGGACGAAAAAAGAAUUUUUUGAGGUCUUGAUACUCAUUAUGCCUAGCAUUGAAUAGAGUGAGUAUUCCCCUUAUCAAUAUCUUAAAUCAAUAAUGGGUCCUAUUGGUUGCCUAAAAUCUAAAAAUCGAAAAGGGGCACCUAAAUUGGACCGAAUCUUUUGUCAGGCUAUUGUUCUCUUGUUCCCUAAAAGUCAUGGAGUAAGACAUCAACUUCUCAAUAAGUUUUUUGAUUCCAUAAUGUACUCCUCUGAAAAAGCAUCGGCGCGCGUGUAAACGAGGUGCUCUACCUAACUGAGCUAUAGCCCU